UGGGGAAUAUUGGACAAUGGGCGGAAGCCUGAUCCAGCCAUGCCGCGUGUGUGAAGAAGGUCUUCGGAUUGUAAAGCACUUUAAUUUGGGAGGAAGGGCAGUUAACGAAUACUUAACUGUUUUGACGUUACCAAAAGAAUAAGCACCGGCUAACUUCGUGCCAGCAGCCGCGGUAAUACGAAGGGUGCAAGCGUUAAUCGGAAUUACUGGGCGUAAAGCGCGCGUAGGUGGUUCGUUAAGUUGGAAGUGAAAGCCCCGGGCUCAACCUGGGAAUUGCUUUCAAAACUGGCGAGCUAGAGUACGGUAGAGGGUGGUGGAAUUUCCUGUGUAGCGGUGAAAUGCGUAGAUAUAGGAAGGAACAUCAGUGGCGAAGGCGACCACCUGGACUGAUACUGACACU
rnacentral:rRNA from 1 species